ACACAUGCAAGUCGAACGAAGCUUGACGGAUGAUUUCUUCGGAAUGAAACCAGAUAUGACUUAGUGGCGGACGGGUGAGUAACACGUGAGCAACCUGCCUUUCAGAGGGGGAUAACGGCUGGAAACGGUCGCUAAUACCGCAUGAUGUGUUCGGAUGGCAUCAUUUGAACAUCAAAGAUUUAUCGCUGAAAGAUGGGCUCGCGUCUGAUUAGAUAGUUGGUGGGGUAACGGCCUACCAAGUCUACGAUCAGUAGCCGGACUGAGAGGUUGAACGGCCACAUUGGGACUGAGAUACGGCCCAGACUCCUACGGGAGGCAGCAGUGGGGAAUAUUGCACAAUGGGGGAAACCCUGAUGCAGCAACGCCGCGUGAAGGAUGACGGUUUUCGGAUUGUAAACCUCUUUUCUUAGUGACGAAGACAGUGACGGUAGCUAAGGAAUAAGCAUCGGCUAACUACGUGCCAGCAGCCGCGGUAAUACGUAGGAUGCAAGCGUUAUCCGGAUUUACUGGGUGUAAAGGGAGCGCAGGCGGGACUGCAAGUUGGAUGUGAAAUACCGUGGCUUAACCACGGAACUGCAUCCAAAACUGUAGUUCUUGAGUGAAGUAGAGGCAAGCGGAAUUCCGAGUGUAGCGGUGAAAUGCGUAGAUAUUCGGAGGAACACCAGUGGCGAAGGCGGCUUGCUGGGCUUUAACUGACGCUGAGGCUCGAAAGUGUGGGGAGCAAACAGGAUUAGAUACCCUGGUAGUCCACACUGUAAACGAUGAUAGCUAGGUGUGGGGGGUCUGACCCCUUCCGUGCCGGAGUUAACGCAAUAAGCUAUCCACCUGGGGAGUACGAC
rnacentral:rRNA from 1 species